GGUAACAUUGCGAUCCCUCUAUGCCAUAUUAUGAGGUCGUCAAAUUUACUAAAGUUGUUUCCUACUAAUUAUUUGCCUACUUUAUCAAUGUCAUCGUAUUUCCAUGCCACUCUAAGUUAGUGUAAUUUAGACAAGUCACAUUAGCCUCUGAGGUGCCACCCAUGUCUAUGAUGGUACUAGCUAACUCAUGUCUGACUACAAGAGUAUACUAACUAGCGGCAACAAACUCAAACCAACCAAGGGCCAUAGCAAAACAUGUCACAGUUGGCUACAUAGUGUAAGGGCGUCACUGGCCUGAAUCUAAUCCAAUCUGGAGCCAGUCAGUCUACAUCUGUAAUGUAUAGAAUUAUCCUCCAAACGAGAUUACAUUAUUUCUCGAGCUAUGUUUAUAAUUGAGGGAUGAUGACAAUCAUUGACCCUGUUUUUCUGUUAGACAAAGUGCACAGUUGGGUGACAGACUGAUCCCCUGGUCAUGAACGGAUGCCGGGACCUACCAGAAGGAUAAAAGCUAGUCUCCCUCGACUCCUGUGAAAAGGACACGCCAUCCUGAAGCCUCCUAUAGGUACUGCCUUGAUGACACAGACGGCUUCAUCAACAACGACAGGCCUCCGAGUCAACACCACCUCAUAAGAUUGCCUGCUGCAGUUGUUCGAGAGAUGUCCAGUUUUCAGCCAAACAUAUGGAGCAUAGAGAAUACCACAUCUGAGGGGCCAGGAGCUGAUCUACGCUGCAAUGCCCAUCAAUGUGGCUCUGGCAAAGACCUCACCUCCAGCAUCACAUCUUGCCUGCUCACCAACGGUUGUCGAUGGGGAGAACAGCAUUAGAUGGACUGGAGAUGCUUUGUCCAGAUGGCAGCUUCAGUCGUUUGAUGUGGAAACCAUAAUUGAGUAGGUUUUAUCUGAACUAUUCAAACUUCAACAUAGUACCUGUUUGUGUGUCAGAUAUUACCUAU